GUCUGUGACCUAGGAACUUCUGACAAGCAUCUAUUUAGAGACUUCUAAGAAAAGCUUCUCACUUUUUCUAAGCCAGCAAAGGAAAUUGGCAUUGUAGUGAAUACCUAGCUUCAGUUCUAGGUUAAGUGAAGAAAAGUGUUAUUUUCUUAUCUCAUGUUAAAAGAGACUGAUGAUACCCCAUGAAACACUUUAUGACCUCUGAGAAUAUACAAGAACAUCUUAGGGAAAGACUGACUUGUCCUGGUGAACCAGUUCUGCAGGACUAUAUUUCACCAGAUAGUAAUGUCAUUUGGUAGGAACAGCUGAGGACUGAAGAUCAACAUCUUCCCACUUCAGCCACAUCUCAGAGAAGAUUUCCUCAGGCAACAUCUUAUAUGGUGUGUGUCUUGAAGUUCAUUUCAAUUUCAGAAAAGCUCAUUGGUGCAUUCCUCAAUAUUGAUAUGUAAGUAAAGGUACUUUCUUUAAAAUUUUAAUAUUAUGCAUAGUUUGAAGAUCCUUAUGUUAAGGAAAUCUUGGACAUGCACAUUUAGAGUCUUAUUUAGAAACUUGGAUUUUGGAUGGUUAUAUGAACAUUGCAGAAUGUCAUGUUGGAAAAAUAUUUCCUUCAUACUUUUGUAAGAGACUAGGGCCAAUGUUUUAAAGCUAUAUAUCAAAUAAUACAAAGGUGAAGUGGGAUUAUAAUU